rnacentral:rRNA from 1 species
UGCCAGCCGCCGCGGUAAUACGUAGGGUGCAAGCAUUAAUCGGAUUUAUUGGGCGUAAAGGGGGCGCAGGCGGAAUUUUAAGUCAGACGUGAAAGCCCAGGGCUCAACCCUGGAACUGCGUUUGAAACUACUUUUCUAGAGGAUAGGCGGAGAAAACGGAACUCCACAUGUAGCGGUGAAAUGCGUAGAUAUGUGGAAGAACACCCGUGGCGAAAGCGGUUUUCUAGCUUAUUCCUGACGCUCAGGCCCGAAAGCUAGGGGAGCAAACAGGAUUAGAUA